rnacentral:rRNA from 1 species
GUGGGGAAUUUUGGACAAUGGGCGCAAGCCUGAUCCAGCAAUGCCGCGUGCAGGAAGAAGGCCUUCGGGUUGUAAACUGCUUUUGUACGGAACGAAACGGUCCUGGUUAAUACCUGGGGCUAAUGACGGUACCGUAAGAAUAAGCACCGGCUAACUACGUGCCAGCAGCCGCGGUAAUACGUAGGGUGCAAGCGUUAAUCGGAAUUACUGGGCGUAAAGUGUGCGCAGGCGGUUUUGUAAGACAGGCGUGAAAUCCCCGGGCUCAACCUGGGAAUUGCGCUUGUGACUGCAAGGCUGGAGUGCGGCAGAGGGGGAUGGAAUUCCGCGUGUAGCAGUGAAAUGCGUAGAUAUGCGGAGGAACACCGAUGGCGAAGGCAAUCCCCUGGGCCUGCACUGACGCUCAUGCACGAAAGCGUGGGGAGCAAACAGGAUUAGAAACCCCUGUAGUCC